UUCUUUUUAGGGCUGCACCUGCAGCAUAUGGAUGUUCCCAGGCUAGGGGUUGAAUUGGAGCUGUAGCUGCCAGCUUAUGGGAGAGUCACAGCAACCCAGGAUCCUUAAGCCACUGAAUGAGGCCAGAGAUCAAAUGCACAUCCUCAUGGAUACUAAUCAGAUUUACCAAGAUGGGAACUCCCUUGGAUAAAAUUUUUAAACAUAAAAAAUAACUAUGUUAAACACCACCUUUAGGGGGAAGUAAAUUACAGGCAUGUCUUACGAAUAUAUGGCAUAUGUAAGACAGUUAGAGACUAUGCUUUAUAUGUAUGGGAAAAUAAUGCAUGAAUAAAUGCUUAUGAGUAAUUUUCCUAAUGGAGAAGGUAAUACUAAGGGGGGGGGGUCUCUUUCUACAUUAUAUGUACCUGCAGUGCUUGAAAUUUAUUGGCAGGGUCAUGGUGAGGGAUACAUGCUCUGAGUUAACAUUUAUGGAGAUCAAGCAUUGUCUCCUCCAAUUACUAGCUACUAUUUAAAAACUGAAAUGCUUUUGUUUCCUCAGUGGUAAAAUUGUGAUAAUUUUAAUUUAACAGAAUACUUUAUAAGGUCACAUGAGAUAAAAGAUAUAAAUUCCAUCCACUGAUAACCAGAGAUGCAGCCAAUAGCUGUUAGUUGUUAUUGGUCAUAUCAUUAUUGUUACUUAGUAAAAGCUAUGAACACUUUAAAAGACUAAAACCACACUUGAAGAGGAUCUGGAUAAAACACAAUUUUAAAGUUACUUUUUAGAAGAUGUUAGUUCUAAUAGCCUCUAAUGAAAGCUUCCUUCACCAUGUUUUUUUGUAUGUUCCCCUGUUGUCCAUUGUCCAUGUUCAUUUUUCUAUUAACAUGUUAUAUUUCAUCAUUAACUUAUUUAUCUAAUACUUCCCUUGCAAGUGUGUUAGCAUCAAGAGGGCAGGGACAACAUCUCCUUUAUAUUGUGCUACAUUAUAUCUCUGGAUACCCAAUCCUAGCACAGUGAUGUUUCAUAGUUUACAAUCAGUAUUUGGGUCAGUACUCUUCACAUGAUCAAAUUGUACUAAAGAAUCAGCUUGGCAAUCAAACAUGGAAAAGUGCUUAGAUUUAAGACCCAGUGUCUAUAGUCUGUUCCUUUUUCUCUUAUAUCCCUUUACCCUUUGAAGGUGUACAGUGUUGCAAAUGCCAUGACUACUUAACAAUCCCAAGACAGUAGUCUUGUAAUGUGUUAUUCAAAAGGAAAUAGAAAGCUGCCCUGGAGAAAGGAUGUUGGUCAAACCUAGGUCACACACAUAGUCUUUGAUGGGAGUGGGGCGGUACAGACUGGCACCCCCUGAACCCUGGGAAGCUGAUGCUGUCACCAGAAGGGGAAAGGAAUGCUGGGAAGAAAGAGGCGAGAACAGCUUUCUACUACAGAUGUAAAAACCGUUAAGUCAAUUCUAUAGCCGUUGACUGUACAGUUGCUUUAAGAGUUUUUAAAGCUACAGGUGUCCUUAAAUUUCUUCUAAGGAAUGAAAUUUAAAUGUAAAUCUUGAGCCACUUUUGCAUUGUGUAAACAAAAUCUUUGGUUGUUGAAGUGUGGUUACUUUAAUAUAGUCACAAAUUUAGGUCAGUUGAGAUGAAUGUCAACCAUUGAUAGCACCAGCCCGUGCCUCCAUUGUGGCAGGACAGCAACUGCUGAAUGGGGAAAUAGAUAAGUAAUUGUGGGGGGCAAAGCUGAUGGAAAAAGUGGUAAUUGGAAAUGCUUUAAGUCUAUCCUUGACAUCCUUGUCAUGGAAGGCAUGCAAGAAAUAAACAUAUGAAACCCAGUUCUUCCACAGCAAUUUCAGGGAGGAAACUGGCAUAAAACCCCAGUAUUAUAUCAAAAAAUCCAAUAACACAGAAUGCUAAUUACAGAUUAGAUUUCAAUGUAUACUUGUCAUCCAGAAAAAAAAACUCAGGGGAGUUCUCAUUGUGGCUCAGUGGAAAUGAAUCUGGAUGCAGGUUCGAUCCCUGGCCUUGCUCAGUGGGCUAAGGAUACAGCAUUGCCCUGAUCUGUGGUGUAGGUCACAGAUGUGGCUCGGAUCCCAUGUUGCUGUUGCUGUGGCUGUGGCGUCAUCCAGCAGCUACAGCUCCGAUUCGAUCUCUAGCCUGGGAAACUCCAUAUGCUGUGGGUGUGGCCCCCAAAAGACAAAUAAAUAAAUAAAUAAAUAAGCAACUCGGGAUACCCUCUCUAAAUCACAUAUUAUCACUGAGCUAUUUUUAAAGUAAUUAGUACAAUAUAAGGCUUAUCUUUCUUUUCCUUAAUUAUUUUUAUUUCUUAUCCACUGUUAUUACACAUUUUGUAGACACGAAAUUAGUGAGUCAGGAUGACUGGAUGGAGGAACUGGUGAUACUUAGCUACAGACAUUUCUAGAAAAGUUAUUUUUAGGAUUAAAGAUGGUUGCUCUUGAAUAUCUAAUGUUUACAUUGAAAUUACUUUGUCCUUUGAUGUUACAAUAUUAUAUAAAAUGUGUAUGUUUUGUUUUUUUGUACUUGAUAACACAUAUUGUCAAAAAAAUGGUUAUUAAGGGGGAGGGUAGACCCACUGUUAUUCCAUGACUCAUGAAUGGAUACGCACAGGAUUGUUAACUGAUGGAGGAGGUUCACCACGGAAAAAUCUUUGGCUGCUUUGAUAAAUGCAGAUGAUGAUUAAGUAUGUGACAUUGUUCCCAUUUAUUCAGGGCUGAAUCAAUCAGUGCACCAAGUCAGCCUGAUGCAAUGGGCUACUCUAGAUGUGGUCUUCUGAAUAAGACAGAGUGUUAAAAUGAGGUCAUGACCACUUUUCAUGGGACUUUUUUUGCUUGGCUACAUUCCAGCUUCGCUAAUUAAAGUCUGUCUUUCUAAGACUCCUUUACAGUUUUAAUUGGGUAUGUUAUUUCUUGUGAAUUGUAUGGAAUUGUUAUUCACUGUCAUAAGCAGUGGCUGUAUUUCACCAUAGAGGUGGUUGCAUUUCAUCACAGGGAUCAAAGGAAGGGAAACAUGAAUAUAACUUUUUUAAGGGCACUUUGCAAUGCUUUGAGCUCUUUGGAAGAAAGCACUAGAAAGGAAAAUAAUGGUGGUUCUUAAAAUGUAAAGUAUUGCUAUUAUCAUUUUUGAAAAAAACCUAAAGAUUAAGAAUAUUUUCUGGUGGAGCUCAGGAAAAUUAUUCUAUUAUUUCAGGAAAAGGCCAUAAAUAUGAUAAUUGAAAAUUUAGUGGAAAAAAAAACUUUGCUGUCAUAUUUGAGAAGUCUCUAUAUUAUCUGUGUGUAGGGAAAAUAGUUGGAACUUCUAAGCCUUUCUGAGGAGAUAUUGUAUAGAAUAUACUAGUUUCUCAGUGCUGAGAAGACUGCAAUUUCUCCUCAGUUUAUAUUAGCUAAGGCCUUAUUUAGAGUUAAUUUUCUUUUCCUUUUCUACAGAUUGACAGUCUAUAUUGAACAAAUAUACUUGUAGACAAAUGAUAAAUUUUCACAUCACACUGAGCCUUUGUUUAGCCUAUUUUUAGUUACCUUAAUUGAUUGGUUGAGUCACACCUCUUGGAGGGGGCACCCCCCCACACACACAUACACAUGAAAUAAAAGUCUCUUUAGCACAAUGACUGCAUGUAGAGAAGGAGUAAAGAAUACCUUUUUUGCUACAGACAUAAUAACCAAUGAAGUUAUUGGCUAUUUUCCAUGUGUUUAUAUUUUUAGAAUCAAGAAAUGAGGUUGAAUUAAUAGAAUAAAAUAGAAUACCUUAAGAUGAGGGUAAAAAAGAAAGAGCAAUACAAAUAAAUGAGACGGAAACGUGGUUUAAAAAAACUCAGAUAGAUUAUAUAUUUGUUACAAAUAGAGCCCUCAGUUAGCUCUGCUUUUCAAUAAUUAACACAAGAAAACUGAAAACAUCACUUCGCUGCAUAGUUCCCCAUAUCUCAAAUAAAACUUAAAUAGCUCAGGAAUACAGAAAUCAUCUGGUUCCCCUCAACUCGGGAUCCCCACGAAGAAAACAAUGUGCGAUUUCACAACAGCCUCAGAACACCCUUAGAAUAGAUAAAAUUUUUCACAGGACUAUUCUCUACAAAGAUCUUAAAAAUAAAUGCAAGUGUUGCACACUAACACAAUUCUAGUAUGGAAACUUUUGGUUGUGGUGACCCAAGUGAACGUAAAUAAUUCUCCUUCACUCCACACUUGUCUGACUACUAAGUCCAUAAUUUUCAUUUUUGAUUCUGCAGUUUUUUAGAUAUUGCAACAUUGACUCAGCACCAUGCUGUUCAUUCAAUAACAUGAGAAUAGUGAUAUAUGACAGAACUGUAACACUCUGUAAAUCGUAUGUGUGUUCACAUAUACAAACAUUCACAUAUAUGUGCAUAACCAGUAUAAAAAAUACCUCCUAAGUUUCUCUGAAUAUUGUUUUAUUUUUCUUUGUUAUACUUAUCACUUAAAACUACCUCAAAAAAAAGGUGUAUAUGUGUCAUACAAACUCACACACACACGAACACAUGUGUUAGUUUCAGGAGCACAACAUUGGGUUAAUCAUGAUCCUUGGCUUUUAACAUGUUGCCAUCUUUGAUCCUUGUAUGGUCUCCAUUUUUAUUCAUUCAUUUAGGAUACAAUGAAUACCCUUGAACCUAACAUUCAUCCCCAAGAUCUAAAACAUUAAACAUAAGUUCCUCUAACAUGCUCCUUCUCUCUCUAUCCUCAUGUUUUCCUAGAGGUAGCUAUCAUUUUCUUGCUAAAACUCAUAAAUAUUCACCUACCUACCCACACACAUAAACACACAUAUAUGCUUGAACAACAAGUUUUUAACUGUCCUUAAUUUUUAAAAAUGUCUUUAUGCUGAAUGUAAUCUUCGGUGACCCACUUACUGUGCUUAAGCACAAUCUAGUCAUGUUGUUGCAGGUAUCCAUAGUUAUUUGUUUCUAGACUGUGUCAUAUUUCAUAGUAUAAAUAUAUCAAAAAAAUUUUCUGUCUACAGUACUGAUUUUCUGAUAUUUUUUAACACUUUUGCUGUGUGUCUGGUAUUUUUUUAACACUUUGCCUUGUGCAAAUGUGCAAAGUUUUCUCUUGAGUAUGUACCUAGAAAUAGAAUUACUAGGUCUUAAGUUAUGUUCAACUUUACAAGGCAAAACUAAAACGUCUUUCCAUUUAUACUGCUACCAGCCAUAUUUAAGAUACUCCUUCAGGAGUCCUCCUGUGGCACAGCAUUAUCACUGCAGUGGCUCUGGACGCUGCCAUGGUGUGGGUUCAAACCCUGGCCCAGGAAUUUUUACAUGC
rnacentral:lncRNA from 1 species